CGGCCCAAAAACAACGAGAAUUUGCACAAGAUAUACUAGAAAAAAUUCCCCUAAAAAUCCUGGGAAAUCGCCCCAAAAUAUCCAGAGAAAUUGCCCCAAAAAUACCAGGAAAUUGCACCAGAAAUAUCUGGGGAAAUUGCCCCAAAAAUAACGGGAAAUUGCACCAGAAAUACAGGGGAAAAUGACACCAGAAAUCCUGGGAAAUUACCCAGAAAUAUCCUGGGAAAUUACCCCAAAAUCCUGGGAAAAAUCACAUUAAAUAUCCUGGGAAAUUGCCCCAAAAUAUCCUGGGAAAUUGGCCCAAAAAUAACGGGAAAUUGCACCAGAAAUACUGUGAAAAAUUCCCUAAAAAAUCCUGGGAAAUCGCCCCAAAAUAUCCAGGGAAAUUGUCCCAAAAAUAACGGGAAAUGACACCAGAAAUCCUGAGAAAUUACCCAGAAAUAUCCUGGGAAAUUACCGCAAAAUCCUGGGAAAAAUCACAUGAAAAUAUCCUGGGAAAUUGGCCCAAAAUAUCCUGGGAAAUCGGCCCAAAAAUAAUGGGAAAUUGCACCAGAAAUACUGGGAAAUUGCCCCAAAAAUAACGGGAAAUUGCACUAGAAAUACAGGGGGAAAUUACCCCAAAAAUACCAGGAAAAUCACCCCAAAAUAUCCUGGGAAAUUGCCCCAAAAUAUCCUGGGAAAUCGGCCCAAAAAUAACGGGAAAUUGCACAAGAUAUACUGGGAAAAAUUCCCCUAAAAAAUCCUGGGAAAUCACCCCAAAAAUACCAGGGAAAUUGUCCCAAAAAUAACGGGAAAUGACAUCAGAAAUCCUGGUAAAUUACCCAGAAAUAUCCUGGGAAAUUACCCCAAAAUCCUGGGAAAAAUCACAUGAAAAUAUCCUGGGAAAUUGCCCCAAAAUAUCCUGGGAAAUUGGCCCAAAAAUAGCUGGAAAUUGCACCAGAAAUACUGGGAAAAAUUCCCCUAAAACAUCCUGGGAAAUCACCCCAAAAAUGCCAGGAAAUUGCAACAGAAAUACUGGAAAAAAUUCCCCUAAAAAUCCUGGGAAAUUGCCCCAAAAAUACCAGGAAAUUGCACCAGAAAUACAGGGGAAAAUGACACCAGAAAUGCUGGGAAAUUACCCAGAAAUAUCCUGGGAAAUUGCCCCAAAAAUCCCGGGAAAAAUCACACAAAAAAUCCUGGGAAAUCACCCCCAAAAUAUCCCGAGAAAUCGCCCAAAAAAAUCCCAGGAAAUCACCCGGAAAAAUCCUGGGAAAUCCACCCAAAAUAUCCUGGGAAAUUGACCCAAAAAUACCAGGAAAAUCACCCCAAAAUAUCCUGAGAAAUUGCCCCAAAAUAUCCUGAGAAAUUGCCAAAAAAAUCCCAGGAAAUCACCCGAAAAAAUCCUGGGAAAUCACCCCAAAAUAUCCUGGGAAAUUACCCCAAAAUACCCUGAGAAAUUGCCCAAAAAUAUCCCAGGAAAUCACCCGAAAAAUCCUGGGAAAUCCACCCAAAAUAUCCUGGGAAAAAAUCCCCCAAAAUAAUUUCCCCACAAUCCCAGUUUUUCACCCCAAAAUCUCAUCCCCAACGGGCGAAUCGGAG
rnacentral:lncRNA from 1 species